AGUGUGGUCCUUUACACUUUGUAUGGGCUCUCUCUCUCUCUCUCUCUCUCUCUCUCUCUUAUCAACUCAUCAAUUCUACCAGCAGUGAAGAACACGAGGCUUGAAAGGUUGUGAGAUCUAAGGGGGUGAAGGAUGGAGUCCUCAAAUCCUGUCAUGCUUUUCCACAGCUUUCUUGAACUUCCUUCUCGAUUCUUCUUCUUCUUCCUCCUCAGUGGAUCAAGAGAGUCGAAAUGGAUUUUAAUAAUGGAAGUUCAAGAAAGCUGUGGGAGAACAUGGCGAUUCAGGGUUUCUGCGCCGAUCCGACGCCGUUUCGCCCACGAUCUCAUCUUUAAUUGUUUCGACGAUCUUCCCGAUGCAUGUUGGAGUGGUGCCUACGACGCUCUUACGACAAAUCCACUCCGGUUAAAAUAUUGGUGGUUGAAUUUCGAAGCCAUGGGUAUUUUCCAUUCUUCGAUCGGUACACAUUUGGCCGAGAAAAUCGAGGAGAGAGAGAGAGAGAGGUCGAGGAGAGGGAAAGUAGAGAGAGAGAGGGAGAGAGAGAUCAGCGUGGGGGGGGGGGGGGGUUUCAAAUCCAAAAUGUAUUCCUGAAGCUUCUUGCUUUAGGAUAUAUGUAUAUGCUAUAAUAUAUAAUAAUACUUAUAUCUUUACUUUAA